AGUGAACGCUGGCGGUAGGCCUAACACAUGCAAGUCGAACGGCAGCACAGUCAGCGCUCGCUCUUACGGGUGGCGAGUGGCGGAUAGGUGAGGAAAACAUCGGAAUUUAUUUUUUCGAGGGGGAUAACGUAGGGAAACUUACGCCAAUCCCCCAUACGACCUACGGGUGAAAGCAGAGGACCUCCCGCCAUUGCGCGAUUGAAUGUCCCGAUGUCGGAUUAGCUAGUUGGCGGGGUAAAGGCCCACCAAGGCGACGAUCCGUAGCUGGUCUGAGAGGAUGACCAGCCACACUGGAACUGAGACACGGCCCAGACUCCUACGGGAGGCAGCAGUGGGGAAUAUUGGACAAUGGGCGCAAGCCUGAUCCAGCCAUGCCGCGUGGGGGAAGAAGGCCUUCGGGUUGUAAAGCGCUUUUGUUGGGGAAGAAAAGCAGCAGGUUAAUACCCCGGGGUGCUGACGGUACCCAAAGAAUAAGCACCGGCUAACUUCGUG
rnacentral:rRNA from 1 species